CCUACGGGAGGCAGCAGUGAGGAAUAUUGGUCAAUGGACGAGAGCCUGAACCAGCCAAGUAGCGUGAAGGAUGACUGCCCUAUGGGUUGUAAACUUCUUUUAUAUGGGAAUAAAGUGUUCCAUGUGUAGGAUUUUGUAUGUACCUUAUGAAUAAGGAUCGGCUAACUCCGUGCCAGCAGCCGCGGUAAUACGGAGGAUCCGAGCGUUAUCCGGAUUUAUUGGGUUUAAAGGGAGCGUAGGUGGGUUGUUAAGUCAGUUGUGAAAGUUUGCGGCUCAACCGUAAAAUUGCAGUUGAUACUGGCAGUCUUGAGUACAGUAGAGGUAGGCGGAAUUCGUGGUGUAGCGGUGAAAUGCUUAGAUAUCACGAAGAACUCCGAUUGCGAAGGCAGCUCACUGGACUGCAACUGACGCUGAGGCUCGAAAGUGUGGGUAUCAAACAGGAUUAGAUACCCCAGUAGUC
rnacentral:rRNA from 1 species